rnacentral:lncRNA from 1 species
GUUAUGUAAGAAGAGUAAAUACAAAGUUCUAGUUGUAUUUAUAACCAAUUUUAUUUUUCUAAACAGGAAUGAACACCUGCACAGAUGCUCUCAGUGCAAGGUUGCUAAAUACUGUGAUACAUCUUGUCAGAAAGAAGCUUGGCUGGACCACAAGCAGGAAUGCAGGUGUCUUAAGAGCAUCAAGCCUAAUUUUCCUCCAGACUCUGUCAGACUUGCUGGCAGGAUUGUUUUUAAACUACUUAGACAAUCAGUAUGCCUUUCUGAGAGACUCUACUCUUUUUCCAAUCUUCAGUCAAAUAUUGAACAGUUAAGUGAAGAAAUGAAAGAUGGCCUCAGGCACCUUGCACAGACUUUGCAGCUGUAUUUGAAAACAGAGAUCCAGGAUGCAUCUCACUUGCCACCUGCAAUUGACUUUUUUCAGAUCUUCACAAAAGUAAGUGUUAAAAUGUGAUUGCUUGACAACUCUUAAAUUAUCCUUUCUUUAUGUUCUUGAUUUAUUUUUGAGUGGGAGUUCAGUAGAUGCAU